UGCAAUCUACCUUUUACAGAGGGAUAGCCCAGAGAAAUUUGGAUUAAUACCUCAUAGCAUAGCAAUCUCGCAUGAGAUCACUAUUAAAGUCACAACGGUAAAAGAUGAGCAUGCGUCCCAUUAGCUAGUUGGUAAGGUAACGGUUUACCAAGGCUACGAUGGGUAGGGGUCCUGAGAGGGAGAUCC
rnacentral:rRNA from 1 species